rnacentral:misc_RNA from 1 species
GAUGAAGAACGUAUCGAAAUGCGAUACGUAAUGUGAAUUGCAGAAUUCAGUGAAUCAUCGAGUCUUUGAACGCACAUUGCGCCCCCUGGUAUUCCGGGGGGCAUGCCUGUCCGAGCGUCAUUGCUGCCCUCAAGCCCGGCUUGUGUGUUGGGUCUCGUCCCCCUUCCCGGGGGGACGGGCCCGAAAGGCAGCGGCGGCACCGUGUCCGGUCCUCGAGCGUAUGGGGCUUUGUCACCCGCUCUGUAGGCCCGGCCGGCGCUUGCCGAUCAACCAAAACUUUUUUCCAGGUUGACCUCGGAUCAGGUAGGGAUACCCGCUGAACUUAAGCAUAUCAAUAAGCGGAGGA